CUCUCUCUCUCUCUCUCUCUCUAUUUCUAUCUCUGUCUCUUUCUCUGCUGUUCUACACUAAUUCCUCUAAUCUGAAAUCAGAAAAAAAAAUCUUAAAUAGAUAUGCAUAAGAUGCAGCUUCAAAAUAUCAUAUGUAGGACAAUGAUACUUUAAGUUUCUUUUAAAACUUUCCUUUCUAACCAGCUUUCUUGAACAUAGCCAUGUGCAGUUGAGUGGGUGACCCCCCCCAAUGCUGUGAGAAGGGCAGCACCCAAUGAAACUUGGCCAACGUGAAGAAUUGUGGGAAAUAGGAGCACAGCACUGGACCUUAUGCAUGCUGGAUUGGACAGGACAACUGCAGGACAUCCGGC
rnacentral:lncRNA from 1 species